rnacentral:rRNA from 1 species
CCAAGCCCCUCGUCACCUCCUCUGUCCCUCUCCCACGAGACUCUCCUCACCGCCGCCACCUACGGCGGUCGAUCCUGGCCGAAUCCGGCGGCCGCCGGCAGCGCCCAGCACACCCACGUGAUCCCCUCGGCCCGCUCCUCCAUCUCCUCUGGCCAGAUUCGACGGGCGCGUCCUCCUGCGACCAUGCGCAAAACUCUCCAUCCACUAGGGUUUGGGCCACCGCGUCGCAAGUGUGGCUCCGGCGUUGCUCCGGUGAUUCAGAUCCACUCUCUUCCCUCGUCACACCCCUCCUUCAUUCUCCUCCUCACCACGUACCCUCUAACUCUCAGAUCCGUCGUCGCUCGAGCACCGGAUGCCAUGUACGGGAUGGCUGCUUCCUCCCCUGCCCAGAUGCCAUGGAGCGGCUAGAUCUGGGCGUGUACGACGACGCCCAGUGAGACGGCCUGGCCUACCACCCCAAAGCCAUAGCAAGGCGGGUGAGGGAGGAGUAGACCGCAGUCAUAUGGUAGCCAAGAGGGAUCUGAAGCGUUCGUCUCCUUCGAGCACCAAGACGGGUCUGCGGUGGAUGCUGGGUUGGAGCUCGGGUCGAUGGCGUGGCCAUGGAAACGACCUCCUUGACCUCGACAGCCAAAGCGUCGGCAGUGGAACAUCUGAUUCCUGAACCUUUUCUUUUCCUCUUUUAAUUUAAAGUUCUUAUUAGCUUAGUUGUAGAUUUCUAAGCAUGCCAUCUUGUUGUGAUUAAUUAUGUUAGUUUAGUUCUAGAUUUCGGUUGCUACUACUGUUGCAUAAUUGACCCUGAGUAUUCUGUCAUCUCAUAUGCUUCCAUGGCUUGCCUACCAACCUGCUCGAGCAGUAACAUAAACCAAGUUAUUUGAGCAACCAACCAACAACAACGAUAGUAGCACCAACUGUGUUCCUAUUCUACUCUCUAUUGGAGACUGAUGAAUGUUUAGCACUUUAUGGCAGCCCCAUAUGCAACAGGAGACCAGCAAAAGCAGCGAGUGAGAGCGGCUGUGAAUGCAUAGUUGGCGUCGAUGACUGCAUAGAGUAGUGUGAGCUAGGCUACAUCUGAUGCGAGUGGAAGAGCGUGGCUUAUAGUCAACUCCCACAAUGGUCUGUCAACUAGCUCUUUCAAUUGUGUUAAUUUGCUGUCAUCCAGAUUCAGAGUUAUAUAAGAGUAUUGAUAUACUUGGAGUUAGUUGUUAGCUUAUUCGUACAAUAUAUAAGAAUAUAGAUAGAUUUGGAGUUAGUUUUUAGCUGCCAUCUAGCUCUUUAAAUUGAGUUGAUUUGCUUACUGAAAUUAGGUCGAUUCCUUGAUGUACUAUUUUUCUUGAUAUGUUUGAUGUUCAUCGAUCGUCCAGAUUUACUAGCACACCAGAUAUAAAUCUAGACUGAUGCCAUUCAAUAGAUUUUUCUAGACAUUUUAUUGGAUCAUGAGAUGAUUGGCGUGGCAGGUUGUGUUUGGCUAACAUAUUGCAUUGGAAAUAUAUUGUUCUUCAUCGCCUAGUGUCAUUGUUGCAGAUAAUAGGGCAUGUAGAUAGCACGUUAUUUUGCUAGUGGCUACUUAUGCUUAUUGUGUCUCACACCGAAAAAUAAAAAUGCACAAUGAGCUUGUUUGACUUUUUCGAUGUUAUAGUAUACUUGAUCAGGGUAGUUUAUUUCCUGUGAUCUUUCCUAUCACGUGCACAUAUUAAUUUUUGUUGACUUGAAUCUGUUAUGCCCUUGAUAUGCCCUUGAUUUUUUUACUUAGCUUGACCCAGAACAACAGCAUCCUUGAUUUUUACUGACCCCACCUCGCUCUAGCUCUCGUAGACCCAAAGGAGCUUGUAUGCAAUGCACCUCCUCUCUGGUGGUGAGAGCGUACACGGGUCGUGGGUCCAACUAAUUUCCAUGUUUGUGGCCGCUCCUACCACUGCCCUCUCCUUAAGGACACAACCAGAAAGACGCUCAAUAAACAGAUCGUCGUCCUCUCAAAGCGGAGGGGUCAGCUCAAGCGAUAGUCAGUUUCUAGUAUUCUCUACCGUGUUGAUGUGGCUUGUUUACCUCGUCCUUGCUACACUUGAUCGCAUUAUAUGAUCUCUGCUCGAGGAUCUGAUAGAGAUGGUUCAUUCAAAAUAGUAGAGUAUAUGAUUCAUGUUUUGUUAUAGUUUGUUUGCUUGUCCCAAUCCUCUGUUUCAUGGCUGCUAUGUUUCCUUUCCUAAUCGCAUUGCACAUAUUUUUGGUACUCAAAAUGUGACAUUAUUCAGUCAAUUUCAGUCCCUGUCGCAGUCCAACAGGCAUUCCUUUGUCGUUGGACACUGGUAAUUAAGAGAGAGCAUUGUGUACUCUCUGAUUAUUUGUCUAUUGAUUGCUUGAAGCAUCUAUCUUACUAGCUUUUAGAAUGGAGAAACUCGUGUCAUUUCAUAUAUGAUCUGAAUGAAAUGAUUAGGACUUGUUGCAGUGGAUUUAUUUGACAUUGUAUAUUGUACUAAAGAAACAACAUAUGUGCUCCUGAAAAGUACUAUGUUCUUGUCUGCUACAUGUUCCCAUUUAAGCUACGUGCCUGAUUUAAAUUUCAACAAUGGUUUGUUUUGCAUGCUUACCUUUUUGGUAAACUUGGUGCCAUGCUUAUUUCAUGUAGCUAAUAGUAACCUACAAAAAAUUGUAAUUGCCAAGAUUGAUUUGUUCUGCUUUCCUGCUACAAACUUUUCGAAUAACUACUACUUAAUUAGUAGCAUGUAGAUUGGAUUAUUAUUUUGUCAACAUUCUAUUCCAGAGAUAUAUACAAAAUCAUGUGUUGGCCAUCCCAUGUAGCAAUCACUGCUAGUCUGUAUUGAGCAAACAGUGCACCGCACUGUAGCUAAUCUCGUGCAGCAGUUGCCUCCCGGGACGCGGGUGUGCGUCGUGCGCAGUUUAGAUUUUCCAGUCUUUCUUUCAAAAUGUCAGGUGUUGUAUUAGUAUCAUGAUGUUAGCUUCUUAAAUUCUGCUACUAGGACAUCUAUUCUUGAAUAGUUUGCUUAUAAAGUUUCCUAGUCAUUCAUAACCAACUGCAAUAUAUUGAUGGACAUAGUACUCUGCUCAUGUGUAGAUCUUUCUUUAAAUGUCAGGCUAACAUGGAAAGUGCUAUGGAACAAGAGGUACCAGAAGGUGAAGAACCAAAGAGUGAUGUUGUUGCUGACCUUUUCUCACUAAAGAAUGGCCCUCCAGCAGAUUCCCUCACUGGAUGUGUUGUUUUGGUUGGUGCCAUCUUAUGUUACUGGUUACUAGUGCACAAUAUGGACAUGUGCCAUCUUAUGAACAUGGGGUAAUAAUACUAAGCUACUGGUUGUGUUAUAUUGGUUGGUGCAUCUUAUGAACCUAUGGUGUAAUGAUACUGUUGGGCCUAACUUAUUGAAAUCCUGGAGAAUUAUAUUAUUAUUAUCAUCAUUAUAUUCUCAUGUGUUGGCUGACUGCC